UACAGAGGUCUCAAGCGUUGUUCGGAUUCAUUGGGCGUAAAGGGUGCGUAGGCGGCGCGGUAAGUCGGGUGUGAAAUCUCGGGGCUUAACUCCGAAACUGCAUUCGAUACUGCCGUGCUUGAGGACUGGAGAGGAGACUGGAAUUUACGGUGUAGCGGUGAAAUGCGUAGAUAUCGUAAGGAAGACCAGUGGCGAAGGCGGGUCUCUGGGCAACAACUGACGCUGAGGAGCGAAAGCGUGGGGAGCGAACAGG
rnacentral:rRNA from 1 species